rnacentral:rRNA from 1 species
AGAGUUUGAUCCUGGCUCAGGACGAACGCUGGCGGCACGCUUAACACAUGCAAGUCGAACGAGAGAAGAGGAGCUUGCUUUUCUGAUCUAGUGGCGGACGGGUGAGUAACACGUGAGCAAUCUGCCUUUCAGAGGGGGAUACCGAUUGGAAACGAUCGUUAAUACCGCAUAACAUAAUUGAACCGCAUGAUUUGAUUAUCAAAGAUUUAUCGCUGAAAGAUGAGCUCGCGUCUGAUUAGCUAGUUGGUAAGGUAACGGCUUACCAAGGCGACGAUCAGUAGCCGGACUGAGAGGUUGAUCGGCCACAUUGGGACUGAGACACGGCCCAGACUCCUACGGGAGGCAGCAGUGGGGAAUAUUGCACAAUGGAGGAAACUCUGAUGCAGCGAUGCCGCGUGAGGGAAGAAGGUUUUAGGAUUGUAAACCUCUGUCUUCAGGGACGAAAAAAGACGGUACCUGAGGAGGAAGCUCCGGCUAACUACGUGCCAGCAGCCGCGGUAAUACGUAGGGAGCGAGCGUUGUCCGGAAUUACUGGGUGUAAAGGGAGCGUAGGCGGGAUCGCAAGUCAGAUGUGAAAACUAUGGGCUUAACCCAUAAACUGCAUUUGAAACUGUGGUUCUUGAGUGAAGUAGAGGUAAGCGGAAUUCCUAGUGUAGCGGUGAAAUGCGUAGAUAUUAGGAGGAACAUCAGUGGCGAAGGCGGCUUACUGGGCUUUAACUGACGCUGAGGCUCGAAAGCGUGGGGAGCAAACAGGAUUAGAUACCCUGGUAGUCCACGCCGUAAACGAUGAUUACUAGGUGUGGGGGGACUGACCCCUUCCGUGCCGCAGCAAACGCAAUAAGUAAUCCACCUGGGGAGUACGACCGCAAGGUUGAAACUCAAAGGAAUUGACGGGGGCCCGCACAAGCAGUGGAGUAUGUGGAUUAAUUCGAAGCAACGCGAAGAACCUUACCAGGUCUUGACAUCGUAUGCAUAGCUCAGAGAUGAGUGAAAUCUCUUCGGAGACAUAUAGACAGGUGGUGCAUGGUUGUCGUCAGCUCGUGUCGUGAGAUGUUGGGUUAAGUCCCGCAACGAGCGCAACCCUUACUGUUAGUUGCUACGCAAGAGCACUCCAGCAGGACUGCCGUUGACAAAACGGAGGAAGGUGGGGAUGACGUCAAAUCAUCAUGCCCCUUAUGACCUGGGCCUCACACGUACUACAAUGGCUGUCAACAGAGGGAAGCAAAGCCGCGAGGUGGAGCGAACCCCUAAAAGCAGUCUUAGUUCGGAUUGUAGGCUGCAACCCGCCUACAUGAAGUCGGAAUUGCUAGUAAUCGCAGAUCAGCAUGCUGCGGUGAAUACGUUCCCGGGCCUUGUACACACCGCCCGUCACGCCAUGGGAGUCGGUAACACCCGAAGCCUGUAGUCUAACCGCAAGGAGGACGCAGUCGAAGGUGGGAUUGAUGACUGGGGUGAAGUCGUAACAGGGUA